rnacentral:rRNA from 1 species
GACGAACGCUGGCGGCGUGCUUAACACAUGCAAGUCGAACGGAAAGGCCCUGCUUUUGUGGGGUGCUCGAGUGGCGAACGGGUGAGUAACACGUGAGUAACCUGCCCUUGACUUUGGGAUAACUUCAGGAAACUGGGGCUAAUACCGGAUAGGAGCUCCUGCUGCAUGGUGUGGGUUGGAAAGUUUCGGCGGUUGGGGAUGGACUCGCGGCUUAUCAGCUUGUUGGUGGGGUAGUGGCUUACCAAGGCUUUGACGGGUAGCCGGCCUGAGAGGGUGACAGGCCACAGUGGGACAGAGAUACGGCCCAGACGCCUACGGGAGGCAGGAGUGGGGAAUAUUGCAAGAUGGGCGGAAGCCUGAUGCAGCAACGCCGCGUGCGGGAUGACGGCCUUCGGGUUGUAAACCGCUUUCGCCUGUGACGAAGCGUGAGUGACGGUAAUGGGUAAAGAAGCACCGGCUAACUACGUG